UACGGAGGGAGCUAGCGUUGUUCGGAAUUACUGGGCGUAAAGCGCACGUCGGCGGCUACUCAAGUCAGAGGUGAAAGCCCAGGGCUCAACCUUGGAACUGCCUUUGAAACUAGGUAGCUAGAAUUCUGGAGAGGUCAGUGGAAUUCCGAGUGUAGAGGUGAAAUUCGUAGAUAUUCGGAAGAACACCAGUGGCGAAGGCGGCUGACUGGUCCGGUUCUGACGCUGAGGCGCGAAAGCGUGGGGAGCAAACAGG
rnacentral:rRNA from 1 species